rnacentral:rRNA from 1 species
CGCUGGCGGCACGCCUUAUACAUGCAAGUCGAACGAAGUAUUUAUACUUAGUGGCAGACGGGUGAGUAACAUGUAGGUAUCUUCCCUUUGGUGAGGAAUAACACGAGGAAACUUGUGCUAAUACCUCAUAAGUCUUUACGGAGAAAGCUUUAUGCGCCAAUGGAUGAGCCUGCACUUGAUUAGUUUGUUGGUGGGGUAAUGGCCUACCAAGACUUUGAUCAAUAGCUGAUCUGAGAGGAUGAUCAGCCACAUUGGGACUGAGACACGGCCCAAACUCCUACGGGAGGCAGCAGUAGGGAAUAUUGCACAAUGGAGGAAACUCUGAUGCAGCGAUGCCGCGUGAGUGAAGAAGGCCUUUGGGUUGUAAAGCUCUUUCGUCGGGGAAGAAAAUGACGGUACCCGAAUAAGAAGGUCCGGCUAACUUCGUGCCAGCAGCCGCGGUAAUACGAAGGGACCUAGCGUAGUUCGGAAUUACUGGGCUUAAAGAGUUCGUAGGUGGUUAAAAAAGUUGGUUGUGAAAUCCCGAAGCUUAACUUCGGAACUGCAAUCAAAACUUUUUAGCUAGAGUAUGAUAGAGGAAAGCAGAAUUUCUAGUGUAGAGGUGAAAUUCGUAGAUAUUAGAAAGAAUACCAAUUGCGAAGGCAGCUUUCUGGAUCAUUACUGACGCUGAGGAACGAAAGCAUGGGUAGCGAAGAGGAUUAGAUACCCUCGUAGUCCAUGCCGUAAACGAUGUGUGUUAGACGUUGGAAAUUUAUUUUCAGUGUCGCAGCGAAAGCAGUAAACACACCC